GAGGGCCCUGGAAGAGCUCA
rnacentral:misc_RNA from 1 species